UAAAAUCAGACCCAAAGGUACAGAAAGCCCC
rnacentral:piRNA from 1 species